rnacentral:rRNA from 1 species
GACGAACGCUGGCGGCGUGCCUAAUACAUGCAAGUCGAACGCUUCUUUCCUCCCGAGUGCUUGCACUCAAUUGGAAAGAGGAGUGGCGGACGGGUGAGUAACACGUGGGUAACCUACCCAUCAGAGGGGGAUAACACUUGGAAACAGGUGCUAAUACCGCAUAGCAGUUUAUGCCGCAUGGCAUAAGAGUGAAAGGCGCUUUCGGGUGUCGCUGAUGGAUGGACCCGCGGUGCAUUAGCUAGUUGGUGAGGUAACGGCUCACCAAGGCCACGAUGCAUAGCCGACCUGAGAGGGUGAUCGGCCACACUGGGACUGAGACACGGCCCAGACGCCUACGGGAGGCAGCAGUAGGGAAUCUUCGGCAAUGGACGAAAGUCUGACCGAGCAACGCCGCGUGAGUGAAGAAGGUUUUCGGAUCGUAAAACUCUGUUGUUAGAGAAGAACAAGGACGUUAGUAACUGAACGUCCCCUGACGGUAUCUAACCAGAAAGCCACGGCUAACUACGUG